rnacentral:rRNA from 1 species
GAUGAACGCUGGCGGCGUGCCUAAUACAUGCAAGUCGAGCGAACAGACGAGGCGCUUGCUCCUCUGACGUUAGCGGAGCACGGGAGAGUAACACGAGGAUAACCUACCUAUAAGUCUGGGAUAACUUCGGGAAACCGGAGCAAAUACCGGAUAAUCUACUGAACCGCAUGGUUCAAUAGUGAAAGACGGUUUUGCUGUCACUUCUAGAUGGUUCCGCGCCGCAUUAGCUAGUCGGUAAGGUAAAGGCUUAUCAAGGCAACGAUGCGUAACCGACCUGAGAGGGGGAUCGGACGCACGGGAGCUAAUGCACGCUCCAUGCAACUACGGGAGGGAGCAGUUGGGAAUCUUUCGCAAUGGGCGAAACGAUGACACAGCGGCGCCGCGUGUGUUGUAGCAGUGUUCGGAUCGUGAUACUCGAUUAUGGGUGGAAAACAAAUGUGUAAGUAACUAUGCAGGGCUUGACGGUACCUAGUCAAAAAGCCACGGCUAACUACGUG